AUAUGCUUGUGCUUUCUACACAGAACCGAGUAAAGAGAAGGAGGCCAGAACUACACCAGCAAAAGAUUGGACCCUUGUCGAACCACCUGCUGGGGAGGAACAAGCCAAGCAGAAUGCCAACUCCCAGCUGUCCAUCUUGUUCAUUGAAAAACCUCAAGGAGGAACAGUGAAAGUUGGUGAAGAUAUCACCUUUAUAGCCAAAGUCAAGGCUGAAGAUCUUCUGAGAAAACCCACUAUCAAAUGGUUCAAAGGAAAAUGGAUGGACCUGGCCAGCAAAGCCGGGAAGCACCUUCAGCUGAAGGAAACCUUCGAGAGGCACAGUCGGGUGUACACAUUUGAGAUGCAGAUCAUCAAGGCCAAAGAGAACUUUGCAGGAAAUUACAGAUGCGAGGUUACCUAUAAGGAUAAGUUUGACAGCUGUUCAUUUGAUCUUGAAGUGCACGAAUCUACUGGGACUACUCCAAACAUUGACAUCAGAUCUGCUUUCAAGAGAAGUGGAGAAGGUCAAGACGAUGCAGGGGAACUUGACUUUAGUGGUCUCCUGAAACGUAGGGAGGUGAAGCAGCAGGAAGAAGAACCCCAG
rnacentral:sRNA from 1 species